UCCUGUUACAGCCUUGAAGCUUCGGAGGCUGGUGCAGAGCCCCCAUGUAGCACAGGGCAGCGGGGAUCACCCCUGUUGGCAGAAAUGCCUUUGAAACACAACAGCGAGCUGCUACAUGAGGCUACUGACUUACAGCCUUAGAAGCCAACAGCCUUCCACUGACUUCAGCGAGCAUUGGCUUAGGCCUUGGUACCUGAUGAAAAGAAAUUCUACAUUGAUUUAUGCUUCCUUGAUGGGGUCAGUCCUUGAAAGGUUAUUUUCAUCCAUGAGUUAUUGCUGCCUGCUUCCCUCAAUGUUUUGUACUGAGGCAACAAGCUACGAGAAAGCUCCUUUAAUUUUAUCCACUCACUCUCCUCCUACACCAACAGGCUUUACAAAGUAAAAAGCUAGUAACUACAGUGGAGAAAGCAGAUAAAGCUACCAGGGGAAAAAGAAGAAAAAUGACAGGAAAAAGAGGUGGAGAAAGGAUCAAAAGAAUGUUUUAUAAGUAGAUAUAGAAGAUUAAAGAAAAACUGAAGAAUUGGUAAGCACAGUCAUGCUGCAGGGAUUACUGGUGGAAAAUGUAAAUGGAAGUGGGAACCAAGAAAUUCAAUGGAAAUGGAAGUGGGAACCAGAGAGUGAAAAGAAGAGGAAAAGCUGACUGGUGCCAAAAGGAUAUAUUUGUACUAAAUUGCCUGGAUAUGAUUUAUUGUUCUCUAAAAAUGAGUAAAAAUUAAAAACACAGAAAAAUGAGAGAGAACCAUCAAUAUGUAUGUCAGAUGAAAAAGGAAGAUGUUGAGACAAACAAGCUUUUUUUUAUAGUGGAGUACCAUCAUUUUUUUUUUUUACUACCAUUUUCUAAUUCAAUUAAUUUAUAUCAAUUUGUUCUUAAUUCAUGUUUCUGUGGGGUUUUUUCCCCUCCAAUUCCCUCCCAGUGGAAUUUUUUUUUUUUAUCCAGCUAUCUGAGUGUUCCUGAUGGUUUACCCUGUGGUCUUUUGUGACUAAAAAUAUUAUCCUUUUCCUUUCUGUUAACAACAUUCAUCCUCACCAAAAUCAAAGGCAUUGUCCAGGACUUUCCAUAAGACAUCUGGCUUCUAAUCAUUAGGUCUUUUAUUAUACAUUUCUUUUUGUGUUUUAUAAACUUGCAGAACUAGUUCUUCCUUUACAUUCUUGUACAAUCUUCAUGAUUUAUUCUAACAGGCUUAUUUCCAUGCAUGUCCUGCUUCUGUCACACUUCUCGGCAUGAUUCUCCAAUAAUUUAUUUGUGGUAAAGGAGAACCAAAUUAGAUCAGCAUUAUCUUUAAUGAAGUCAUUGUUUCAGAGUUAGCUCGCUCAGGACUUUAUUUUUUUAAUGUCUCCAGAUUCAGUGUUGAGUUCGAUGUACUAUGUUGCCCAUGCUAUUGCAAUAAGAAUUGUAUUGAUGUUGAACACUUGAAAAAUAAAACGUAUUAUACCUCAGUGUCAAGUUAAA